ensembl:lncRNA
AUGUUCCUGGGUUCUGCCAUGUUACCACCAGCCCCACUGUACCAAGCUCUAGAUUAAGGAGUUGAGGGAAAGAAACCUUCUCUGUUCAGUUGUCGAUGGUGGUGGUGUCAACUGGAGUCUGGAGAUAUUUUAAUAGACAACUACAGCACUCAUCUUUUCUGGGUUGGCCCUUUAAGUAAAAGCUGUGAGUAGAAAUGAAAUGUUGCUGUAGAUAACUUAAUUGACUUUUACCAUUGCCUGCUUCCUCACCGCCUUCGAAGUACUCCAGGUUUCAGGGGAAAGGAGAAACUUCUCAUCAAUUUAUUGGAUACUGCCCUAGACCUUUAAAGGUGUGCAUCUUGAAAGUGUUCUCAGGCCCACGACAUCAGAGGUAGAUGUUCCAGUUGAAGCUGAACCAUCCUGCCAAUAUUCCCUUACAUUUUGUUGCUGUGUGACAGAUGGCAGCAGAGGGGCACUCUGACAAGAUGACAUCUGACAUGGAAGUGUGUGUGGAGCAAAGGUUUACAAUGCUUAAUUGUGGACUGCCUUCAAGUGAGGUGAUUUGAUUGGUCCUGUGAGAGAAGGAAAAGGCUGGUGUUCAUCUGGAUCUCACCCUGCUGUGGGCAGCUGGGCUGCGCAUAGAAACCAAGAGACUGCACAGAAAAUUCAGACUGUGAAAUUCUACAUCAACAGACUAUUUUCAGGUAGCAGCAAAGCAAAAGCCAAACCGACUUAAAAUAGCAGAUGUUAUGAAUGAUGCCACAGAGUAAUCAGAGGUAUCCGAGGCAAGAUUUCCUGUGGCUGCAAGGAUGUUCUCCAGAAGAGAAUAUGGAUCAAGUGGACCAGGCAGCUGGAUAAAAAGGGAAUAUGCCACAAGAAGAGGCCAGGAGAAGAAGUACCUGCUCUAAUGAGAACAUACAAGUUAUUCAAGGUGUGAAGUCUCUGUACCUACCUUUGGGAACUGGGUUCUUAGCUUGGCAAGUCAUUCAGUGCAUUCCUCACAUAAAGCUGCUAGGGAAUGGUAUUAAUUGCAAUAAGUCAAUAAGUUUGUAAGUUAAUCAGGUACUCAUCCAAGGCACAGGAAGAAUCUGUGCAAAGGAAUACUAUUCCCAGUAUUCCUAAUAUUACAUACAUAAUGGCUAUGGAACACAUAAAAAUAUAUAUGAAAAUGUUCAUGGUUUUGCUAUAAAACAAGCUGUCUGUAAAAUUUCCAUUUAAAGUUUAUUUUAAUCUGAUUGAUAUUAAAUGUUGUCCCUUAAUGAGCAGCUCAUUGUUUUGAAGAAUUGACUGUACAUUUACAUUUUUUUUCUUUAAAAAAGUUACUAAAUUUCUUUAAAAACAUUACUAAUCACUAAAUGCAUGCAAAAUUUUCUACACUACUGAAAUAAUAUUCUACAACAAUAUUCAUUCACUGCAACAUGGAGAGGAAGAUCUGAAAGGUUCACUCAUCCUGAAUGAUAGUGAGGAUGUUGUGUUUAUUUGGUUUUGUGUGUGGGUCUGUUUGUCUGUUUGUUAUUGCUUUCACAUUUUUCUUUCCCUUAAGAGGUCGUGUUGAGCCACAUUCAUUGUUGCCCACAUGUGUUUGUAUAUUGUGCAAAGGUAAUGAACUGAAAUGUAAACUUUGUGCAGAAGAAACUUGCAGUGAGUAAAUGCUUUGCUUACACU